UUUGAAAUAGAAGAAAGGAAGUAGAUUCCAGAUGUAUUUAGGAUGAAGGAUUAUUUUCAUUUUUGUUUGCCAAAGUGAAUCUUGAGUCUUAUAUACAUACGAAGCAGCAGGAAAUGUUCACCAGUUAUGCUGAGCAUAUCACCCACAGAACAUUUUUUUAUUUACCUCGCUACGUGCUUCCUUAGAAAGUUGAGAAGAGAUUGCACAGACCAUUAUUUCUCCAGUAAAAAGUAAUCACAACUGCUAAUUAUUCAGUUUAAAAUCUGCUUAACCUCAAAGCCACUUUUAUGAAGACUGUUAUCAUCAU
rnacentral:lncRNA from 1 species